rnacentral:rRNA from 1 species
UACGUAGGAGGCAAGCGUUGUCCGGAAUCAUUGGGCGUAAAGCGCGCGUAGGUGGCCCCAUAAGUCCGCUGUGAAAGUCAAAGGCUCAACCUUUGAAAGCCGGUGGAUACUGUGGGACUAGAGUACGGAAGAGGCGAGUGGAAUUCCUGGUGUAGCGGUGGAAUGCGCAGAUAUCAGGAGGAACACCAAUAGCGAAGGCAGCUCGCUGGGACGUUACUGACACUGAGGCGCGAAAGCGUGGGGAGCGAAACAGG